CAUUGGUCAACCACUAGAAAUAAAAACCUUGCAUGAACAGAAAAAAUAUGGAUAUUAUAUCCUGAUGGUAGCAGGGUGGAGCAACAUUUCUGCGAAGUGUGCCGCUGGUUGUAGAUGAUAAGAAAAUGUACUAUGAAACUGUGUAAACAUCUCAGUUCAGAAGAGACGCUGCUGUGUGUGUUUCACUGCGAGAGCUGAUUAUGACCGACUUCAGUGCUGGAGUGAAUGUGGACCCUCUUCUGCUCAUCAAGGAUAUAAUGCAAAAACAGAAUGAAGAGAAAUAAAUGCAUGGCAGAUGAGCUGUAGAGCGUCACAAACCGCAGGAGAAUUAAACAUUAAAAAUGACAAAAAAAGAGGACGAGAGACAAUCUGAUGAACCAGGAGAGAAACAGACACUGAGACGAGUCCGGCGGAACAGCAUUGGCAGUGGAAAACCAAACUUUUCUCAUGAUUCAGAAAGACCAGCAGAAACACUCACAGAUGAGAAAGAUGUGGUUCCUUCCAUCUAAACCAGCAGAAAACUCUUCAUCAUGUUCAUUCACUGAAUAAAGUGGUGUAUACUCUU